GAAUGAAGUGAUGAACAAUUGUUUCCUAUUGGUUUGAUUCACCAGAAUGAUGGUGUUAAAUGUAUUCGUACUGUCUGAUCAUUC
rfam:Spinacia oleracea cultivar SynViroflay scaffold19498.con0004.1, whole genome shotgun sequence.